rnacentral:tRNA from 1 species
CCGCCCGUAGCUCAGUUGGUAGAGCAGGUGCCUUUUAAGCAUCGGGUCGCAGGUUCGAGCCCUGCCGGGCGGA